GAUGAAUGCUGGCGGCGUGCCUAAUACAUGCAAGUCGAGCGAACAGACGAGGAGCUUGCUCCUUCGACGUUAGCGGCGGACGGGUGAGUAACACGUAGGUAACCUACCUAUAAGACUGGGAUAACUUCGGGAAACCGGAGCUAAUACCGGAUAAUAUUUCGAACCGCAUGGUUCGAUAGUGAAAGAUGGCUUUGCUAUCACUUAUAGAUGGACCUGCGCCGUAUUAGCUAGUUGGUAAGGUAACGGCUUACCAAGGCAACGAUACGUAGCCGACCUGAGAGGGUGAUCGGCCACACUGGAACUGAGACACGGUCCAGACUCCUACGGGAGGCAGCAGUAGGGAAUCUUCCGCAAUGGGCGAAAGCCUGACGGAGCAACGCCGCGUGAGUGAUGAAGGUCUUCGGAUCGUAAAACUCUGUUAUUAGGGAAGAACAAACGUGUAAGUAACUGUGCACGUCUUGACGGUACCUAAUCAGAAAGCCACGGCUAACUACGUG
rnacentral:rRNA from 1 species